AAACUGCUGACAAUCCUCGCCAUCAAUUCUUUACCCUGUUACAUUGUAGAAUGCUUGUUAUUCCUUUGUAUUCUCAAUGUACAAGGUAUUAAGAAUUGGAGGUUGAAUUACUUCCGGAAGUCA
rnacentral:precursor_RNA from 8 species